rnacentral:sRNA from 1 species
GCCAGGUGCGGUGGUGUACACCUGUAAACCUAGUGGCUCAGGAGGCUGAGACAGGAGGAUCUCGAGUUCAAAGCCAGUCUUAGCAAUGACAAGGUACUAAGCAACUCAGUGAGACCCUGUCUCUA